ACCAGAGGAAUCAGCAUCGGCUAACUCCGUGCCAGCAGCCGCGGUAAGACGGAGGAUGCAAGCGUUAUCCGGAAUUAUUGGGCGUAAAGCGUCCGUAGGCGGUCAAUUAAGUCAGUUGUUAAAGACUGCAGCUCAACUGUGGGAGAGCAACUGAAACUGAUUAACUAGAGUAUGGUAGGGGUAGAGGGAAUUCCUAGUGUAGCGGUGAAAUGCGUAGAUAUUAGGAAGAACACCAGUGGCGAAG
rnacentral:rRNA from 5 species